GUGGGGAAUAUUGCACAAUGGGCGCAAGCCUGAUGCAGCAACGCCGCGUGAGGGACGACGGCCUUCGGGUUGUAAACCUCUUUUAGCAGGGAAGAAGCGAAAGUGACGGUACCUGCAGAAAAAGCACCGGCUAACUACGUGCCAGCAGCCGCGGUAAUACGUAGGGUGCAAGCGUUGUCCGGAAUUAUUGGGCGUAAAGAGCUCGUAGGCGGUUUGUCGCGUCUGCUGUGAAAACCCGAGGCUCAACCUCGGGCCUGCAGUGGGUACGGGCAGACUAGAGUGCGGUAGGGGAGAUUGGAAUUCCUGGUGUAGCGGUGGAAUGCGCAGAUAUCAGGAGGAACACCGAUGGCGAAGGCAGAUCUCUGGGCCGUAACUGACGCUGAGGAGCGAAAGCGUGGGGAGCGAACAGGAUUAGAUACCCCAGUAGUCC
rnacentral:rRNA from 1 species